rnacentral:rRNA from 1 species
UACAGAGGGUGCAAGCGUUAAUCGGAAUUACUGGGCGUAAAGCGCGCGUAGGCGGAUUGUUAAGUCGGGGGUGAAAUCCCGGGGCUCAACCCCGGAACUGCCUUCGAUACUGGCAAUCUGGAGUUCGAGAGAGGUGAGUGGAAUUCCGAGUGUAGAGGUGAAAUUCGUAGAUAUUCGGAGGAACACCAGUGGCGAAGGCGGCUCACUGGCUCGAUACUGACGCUGAGGUGCGAAAGCGUGGGGAGCAAACAGG